CGCCAGCAUUGCCUGUACGCUCUGCCAUCCUUCCCAAAACCAAGCAUUCCUCACCACUAGAAAUGUCAACCUCAGGGAAACAAUCAUGAGAUGCUGUAAAAAAUAUCCUAAGCAAAAAGAGGGAAGGGUAUCUCAGCAGCAAGCAUGCAGAGGUGUGACGUAGAAUUGGUACCCCUGUGUCAGUUACCCAUGCAAGAAAGGAAGAAAGGAUGAUGUGAUGUUGGCCACCUGUCUCAACAGUGAGAGCUAUUUAAUACAAUACUGACAGCGCCCUACAGAGACUCUGAUAUAGUACUUGAAAAAGAAUAACAGUUGUUAUCAAUCCCUACAGAGUUUUCUAGACUGUGUGGCAAAGUAUAUACCAAAGAUUUACAAGAAAAAACUAUUCUGAGCAAAAUAUGCCCCAAGGAUAAAUCAUCUAAGUUGAAAGAAUUAUCAAUUUGUA
rnacentral:lncRNA from 1 species